CAGCCGCCGCGGUAAUACGAAGGGGGCUAGCGUUGUUCGGAAUUACUGGGCGUAAAGCGCACGUAGGCGGAUAUUUAAGUCAGGGGUGAAAUCCCGCAGCUCAACUGCGGAACUGCCUUUGAUACUGGGUAUCUUGAGUAUGGAAGAGGUUAGUGGAAUUGCGAGUGUAGAGGUGAAAUUCGUAGAUAUUCGCAGGAACACCAGUGGCGAAGGCGGCUAACUGGUCCAUAACUGACGCUGAGGUGCGAAAGCGUGGGGAGCAAACAGGAUUAGAUACCCGUGUAGUCCCCUGUCUCUUAUA
rnacentral:rRNA from 1 species